UGUCUAUGACUGGUCACCUGCUGCUCCCACAAUCCCAUACAGAGGGCCACACGGAAUCAUAUCUAGGGUUUUCUCCACUUCUGAUACUUGGGCCAGGAUCUUCAGUGGAGAGCUCGCUGAAGUUUUACUCCACUUGAGAUUCAGGCCGGGCAGCGAAUGAGAGAGGAAAGAGCUGUGGGAAGAACCUUAUGGAAAGAAAGAAGUCUCGCUGAAAGCAACUGAGAAAGGAAGGAAGAAGCAGAAUUGACGGAGAAGAAAAUGUUUCAGUCAAGAUGAUAAUGACUUGUGUCCAACGAAUUACUGCAAGAAGAUAUUGAUGAAAAAGACACGAAGGGUUAAAUGACAUUCAUAUUUUAUGUAUAUGAACAGUUUGCUUAUGUAUGGUAUUUACAGGAUAUGUAUUGUAAACUAUACCAAAUAUAAUUCACUCUUUUACUA